GAUGAACGCUGGCGGCGUGCCUAAUACAUGCAAGUCGAGCGAACAGACGAGGAGUUCGCUCGUCUGACGAUAGCGGCGGACGGGUGAGUAACAUGGGGAUACCUUAUCUAUAAGACUGGGAUCAGGUCGGGAAACCGGAGAUAACACCGGAUAAUAGAUUGAACCGCAUGGUUCAAUAGUGAAAGCCGGCUUUGCUGUCACUCAUAGAUGGAUGCGCGCCGCAUUAGCUAGUGGGUAAGGUAACGGCCUACCAAGGCAACGAUGCGUAGCCGGUCUGAGAGGGUGAUCGGCCACACUGGAACUGAGCCACGGUCCAGACUCCUACGGGAGGCAGCAGUGGGGAAUUUUCGGCAAUGGGCGAAAGCCUGACGGAGCAACGCCGCGUGUGUGAUGAAGGUCUUCGGAUCGUAAAGCUCUGUUAUUAGGGAAGAACGGCUGUGUAAUAAACCGUUCACGUCUUGACGGUACCUAAACAGAAAGCCCCGGCUAACUACGUG
rnacentral:rRNA from 1 species